AAAUGAUUCUAGCAUUUUUAUUCAAUUGUGAAGCGGACCUUGAAAAUUGUGAUGAAAUCUAACCUUGUUUGUCAAAAUAGGCAUAUUUUACGGACUAAAAUUUCCUGGAGCAAACUUGGAGCAACGGCUAAAUGGGAUAAGAAAUAGUUUAGUUGUAUCGAGAUGUAAAAGUCACAUUGCGAUGCUUAAUGAAGAGAAAUACACCGAGGUGGAGACACUCUCUCAAGAAACAACAAACUUCUCUUGGCUUCAAAGGGUGGCUCCAGGAUUUCCAGCAGAUGGUUCUAAGAUUACAAUCAUUCAUAAACCAAGUGAAUUUUACUCCCUUCUGGUCAAGAAAUGCAGAACAGCACAAUUUAGGAUUACCUUGGCAUCCUUGUACUUGGGGACAGGGAAACUUGAAGCUGAUCUGGUAGAAGCCAUUAGAAGUAACUUACAAAACACCAGCGAUGGAAAUUUGAAAGUUAAGAUCCUCCUGGACUACAUGCGAGGAUCUCGAGGACAACAUAAUUCCCGUACCAUGCUUAAACCACUUUUGGAUAGACAAUGGGCAGAAUUCUGUAGCAUAUCCCUUUACCACACACCAAAACUUCGUGGUUUUUUGAAGGCGAUUAUACCUCAGCGUUUCAACGAGUUGAUCGGACUUCAGCACAUGAAACUUUACAUAUUUGAUGAUACCUUAGUCAUAAGCGGUGCUAAUCUAAGCCAUGGUUACUUCACCAAUCGUCAGGAUCGCUAUGUGGUCAUAGAAGACUGUAAAGACCUUUGCGAUUUUUACUCGAAAAUUGUAGACAGAGUUUGCGAGUUCAGUUUUCGCCUUUUGCCUGACGGCAGUGAAACUUUCGACUCAGAUAUCAGCAAACAUCCAUUCAAAGGCAAAAGAAAAGAGUUCACUAAUGCUGUGGCAGCGAGAAUAAAGUCCUUGUUUGAAAACGAGAUGAGAAAAAGAUCAGAGAUAACUAAACACGAUUCCGUCUCUGAAGCCGACACCUGGAUAUUUCCUCUCAUUGAAAUGGGGCAACUGAAUAUCAAACACGAUAGCAUGGUCACACUUAAACUCAUACAGAGUGCGCCGGCAGGCGCUACCCUCAGACUGGCCACAGGAUAUUUUAAUUUAAUCCCAGCUUACAAAAAAGCGUUAAUAAAUAAUAGCAGAGCAAAUUUCCAACUUCUCACUGCACAUCCCACGGCCAAUGGCUUCUUCGGUGCGAAAGGAGUGGCAGGCAGUAUACCCGCGGCUUACACCAAAAUAGAAAAAUCCUUUUGUAAAGCCUGCGAGGCAGUUGGUCAAGAGAAGAGAGUAACGUUAUGGGAAUUUGCGCGUACAGGCUGGACCUACCACGCAAAGGGGCUCUGGUAUACACUACCUGGACACCAAAAGCCGUGUCUUACACUCAUCGGCUCUCCAAACUUUGGGUACCGAUCUGUGAGCAAAGAUUUAGAAACUCAGGUGGCAUUAGUGACGAAAAACGAAAGACUCCAAGAAGCGUUGCAGAAUGAACAAGCCAGGCUGUUCUCAAGUGCUUGUCCCGUAAACAGUCAAUCUUUUACUGGACGGGAUCGUGCUGUGCCAAUAUGGGUCUGCGCCGCAGUCGUUCUCUUCCGAUACUUUUUUUAAAUCAACGGAAAAAAAAUUGUCGUCAAAGUAUUAUGAAUCGCACAUAUGAUGAAAAAAUAAUUUAGGAGAGGAAUUGGAAGCUUACGAAACAUCGGCGCCUUGGAUUUAGGAAAGAAGACUUCUUGUGCAUCUCCGAGAUUUUUCCUUAUAUUUCUCAACGGAUUGCGUGGAAAUAACGUACAUUAUUUAUUACAUAGCCAUAAUAGAUAACGAACUGCUCAAAAUGAUGAGGAAAUUGAUUCAAUUGAAUAGUCCUGUCAAUCCUAUUAUAAUACAUGUACUGUAGAAACUAAUUUCUCUGUGUGAAUAAAUUCAGAA
rnacentral:misc_RNA from 1 species